rnacentral:rRNA from 1 species
UACGUAGGGUGCGAGCGUUGUCCGGAAUUACUGGGCGUAAAGAGCUCGUAGGUGGUUUGUCGCGUUGUUCGUGAAAUCUCACAACUUAAUUGUGAGCGUGCGGGCGAUACGGGCAGACUUGAGUACUGCAGGGGAGACUGGAAUUCCUGGUGUAGCGGUGGAAUGCGCAGAUAUCAGGAGGAACACCGGUGGCGAAGGCGGGUCUCUGGGCAGUAACUGACGCUGAGGAGCGAAAGCGUGGGGAGCGAACAGG